rnacentral:lncRNA from 1 species
GAGAUGAGCAGCUUCAGUUGAAGAAAGGAAAGCAGUGGUCUUCAGUUUAAGAAAUUUCAUUCUGUAUUUCUGAAGAACAGUGGAAUUAUUGAUACAAAAAUGGAGAUUUGAAGAACCCUUGGAUCUUAUUUUCCUACAGUAGCACCUGGCACACUUCAGAGACUCAUGGCCUGGCAUCUCCUCUUGGGCUGGAAAAGAAGGCUGGGGUGUUAAAUCAACUUUGGCGUAAGUAAGCAUUGUAUUAAUUAUAUAAGCAUUAUUAUAUGGCCCAUGUCCAUGCAGCUAGAUCAACCUAGAGU